AUGACCUGCCCUUUAGUGGGGAAUAACCCGGGGAAACUCGGGCUAAUACCGCAUAAGACCGAGAGGUGAAAGCGGGGUCGCAAGAUCUCGUGCUAAUGGAGGGGUCCGCGUUCGAUUAGCUAGUUGGUAGGGUAAUGGCCUACCAAGGCGACGAUCGAUAGCCGGCCUGAGAGGGUGAUCGGCCACACUGGAACUGAGACACGGUCCAGACUCCUACGGGAGGCAGCAGUGGGGAAUUUUGCGCAAUGGGCUAACGCCUGACGCAGCAACGCCGCGUGGAGGAUGAAGGUCUUUGGAUUGUAAACUCCUGUCAGCAGGGAAAAAGGGAGGAGAGCUAAUACCUCUCUGACUUGAUUGUACCUGCAGAGGAAGCCCCGGCUAACUCUGUGCCAGCAGCCGCGGUAAUACAGAG
rnacentral:rRNA from 1 species